rnacentral:rRNA from 1 species
UACAGAGGGUGCAAGCGUUAAUCGGAGUUACUGGGCGUAAAGGGCGCGUAGGUGGUUAUGUAAGUGAGAUGUGAAAUCCCUGGGCUUAACCUAGGAACUGCAUCUUAUACUGCAUAACUGGAGUACUGUAGAGGGUAGUGGAAUUUCCGGUGUAGCGGUGAAAUGCGUAGAGAUCGGAAGGAACACCAGUGGCGAAGGCGGCUACCUGGACAGAUACUGACACUGAGGCG